UACGAAGGGGGCGAGCGUUGUUCGGAUUUACUGGGCGUAAAGGGCGCGUAGGCGGCGCGGUAAGUCGGGUGUGAAAUCUCGGGGCUUAACUCCGAAACUGCAUUCGAUACUGCGGUGCUUGAGGACUGGAGAGGAGACUGGAAUUCAUGGUGUAGCAGUGAAAUGCGUAGAGAUCAUGAGGAAGACCAGUGGCGAAGGCGGGUCUCUGGACAGUUCCUGACACUGAGGCACGAAGGCCAGGGGAGCAAACGGG
rnacentral:rRNA from 1 species